AAAAAAUGCAAUCUAUCGAUCAUUAUUGAUUUGGAAAGUCUAGAGAGAAUAAAUGUAAUACUUCCUUUUAUAUAACUAUUGUCCUUAAUAGUUAUUUUAUAAGAGGAGAAAUAUGUCAUUCAAUAAUUCACAAUUACGUGAGGUCAAGUGAGCAAAUUUGGAGGUCCCAAUAACCGUACUCCUUGUAGUUUAAUCACUUUGUUUCAAGUGUGAGAUUGUUCUAUGAUUUGAGUGGGUAUUUUCAAAUAUGUCGACUUUGUAAUUAUUCUUUCAAAAACACUCAGACGUUAUAUAUCUUUGUUGAUCGAUCUUGAGAAGUCUUAAAUUUGUUAGGCUUUGUUAUUUUGUUUAGGAAAAGAAAAAGGGAAAAAAAGUGAUUUAAAGUAAAAGAUAAUAUAAUAUAUUGUUAUACAUAAAUGUUGUUAACCAUGGUUAGAGUAAUUAAAAGAUAUGACAUGUGACAUUCAACUAGUUGGGUGGGGAUGAGGGUUGGGAAGUAUGGGUUGGGAGCAAAUUUGCAUCCCAUACCAUGGGAUUCAAUCUCCCUCAUAUUUUUCCAACAUUAAUUGCAUCUUUCAAAUAUUAUUUUAAUGAAUGUUAUUACAAAAUUAUCCAUAAUUUUUUUUGAAUCUUGAAUACUUUAUAUUUUAAUAUGAAGGAUAAUUGGUAAAUUAAUGUUAUUUAUUUUCCUAUCCAUGUAUAAACCAAACAUUGGAAAGGAAAGUAAAAUACAUUUCCUAGUUAAUUUUCCCGACAUU
rnacentral:lncRNA from 1 species